rnacentral:pre_miRNA from 11 species
GACCGCACGCAAUAAUCGAUUAUCCCGUGCGCUCGGAUUAUAUAGACCGCACGGGAUUAUCUAUUAUCCCGUGCGGUC